rnacentral:rRNA from 1 species
AACGUAGGAGGCGAGCGUUAUCCGGAUUUACUGGGCGUAAAGCGCGCGUAGGCGGUCGGUCAAGUCGGACGUGAAAGCCCCUGGCUCAACUGGGGGAGGCCAUUCGAUACUGAUCGGCUUGAGGGUGAGAGAGGAAAGUGGAAUUCCCGGUGUAGCGGUGGAAUGCGUAGAGAUCGGGAGGAACACCAGUGGCGAAAGCGGCUUUCUGGCUCACCCCUGACGCUGAGGGCGCGACAGCGUGGGGAGCAAA